rnacentral:rRNA from 1 species
UGUAAGCGUAUACCAGAGUUGUUGCAGUUAAAACGCUCGUAGUCGGAAUUUGGCAGUUCCGGAAGUGUGCACGUCGUGUGCGCACUUUGCGGGGACUGCUUUUGUGGUCUUGCGUAGGAUGAGGCACUUUCAUUAGUGAACGUCCUCACGCAACCACUCUUUACUGUGAGAAAAUCAGAGUGCUCAAAGCAGGCAUUUGCCGUGAAUGUAUUAGCAUGGAAUAAUAGAAUAGGACUCGGUUCUAUUUUGUUGGUUUGUUGGGACUGAGUAAUGAUUAAGAGGGACAGUUGGGGGCAUUUGUAUUCCGGCGCUAGAGGUGAAAUUCUUAGAUUGCCGGAAGACAAACUGCUGCGAAAGCGUCUGCCAAGGAUGUUUUCAUUGA